AUCACUAAGCGCAGGGAAAAUAGAAAAUAACUAUGAUUGCCUCAGUAACGGCGAGUGAAGCGGCAAGAGCCCAAGAUGAAAAUUCCGGCCCUUCGGGCUUGUGAAGUUGUAAUCUAAAGAGUAGUAACUGACCAGCUCCUUGAAGCCCAAGUGUCUUGGAAUAGACCGCCAGGGAGGGUGAAAGCCCCGUACGGCAUCGAGGAAAAGCUAGGUUUCUACUUGAAGAGUCGAGUUGUUCGGGACUGCAGCUCUAAGUGGGAGGUAGACUUCUCCUAAGGCUCAAUAACUAUGAGAGACCGAUAGCGAACAAGUAAUGUGAAUGAAAGAUGAAAAAUUAAUCACCUACGUAAGAACUUUGAAUAAAUAAAAGAGAAUUAAAUAGACCUGAAACCGUUGAGGUGGAAGCGAUAGGAAGUUAUCGUUUGGCUCCGAGCUGGCAAAGCGGCGUCGAGUCUGUCAGGUUACGGUUACCGCAAGGGGCCGUGCUUGGCUGGCGUAGCCGUGAGUUUGCUCUCUGCCAAAAAGCAAGAUAGGCUCCGCCUGCAUCAUAUCCUCUACUGGGUCAGAGCUUCGGCAUCACUCAGUGGCUGGCUGUUGCGGGCGGGGUCGAGGGACUUCGUGUGAUCUUGCUAAACUUGUGUUUUUCCUACCGACCCGUCUUGAAACACGGACCAAGGAGUCUAACAAAUAUGCGAUUAUGUUGGUGUUUAUUAAACCAAACAUGAGUAAUGAAAGUAAGCGGUGCCAAUCGUAAGAUGCAGCAUCGGCCAAUUGCAAUCCUCUGGAGAAGUGUAUUGGCUACGAGCAUAUCUGUUAGGACCCGAAAGAUGGUGAACUACGCUUGAGUAGGGUGAAGCCAGGGGAAACUCUUGUGGAAGCCCGAAGCGGUACUGACGUGCAAAUCGUUCGUCAAACUUGAGUGUAGGGGCGAAAGACUAAUCGAACCAUCUAGUAGCUGGUUCCCUCCGAAGUUUCUCUCAGGAUAGCAAGGACAGUUAAAGCAGUUUUAUUUCAAUUAGGUAAAGAAUAAAUGAUUAGAAGCAUCUGGGAGUUUAUUGUGUUCUCGACUUAGUUCUCAAACUCUAAAUUUGUAAUAACUCGGUAUUUCUUAGGUGAAGAUCGAGGCAGAAUGCUUGUCCUUAGUGGGCCAUUUUUGGUAAGCAGAACUGGCGAUGAGGGAUGAACCUAACUUUGAGUUAAGGUGCCAAACUGCACGCGCAUCAGAUACCUCAAAGGGUGUGUUGAUUCAUCUAGACAGCAGGACGGUGGCCAUGGAAGUCGGAACCCGCUAAGGAGUGUGUAACAACUCACCUGCCGAAUGAAUUAGCCCCGAAAAUUUUGAUGGCUCUUCAGCGUGCGACCGAUACUCAAACAUUGCAACGAAAGUUUGAUUGCAAUGAGUAGGAGAGGGCGUAGGCGUCUUGCAGAAGCUUUGAGCGUGAGCCAGAGUAGAAAGGCGUCUAGUGCAGAUCUUGGUGGUAGUAGCAAUUAUUCAAAUGAGAACUUUGAAGGCCGAAGUGGAGAAGGUUUCCAUGAGAACAGCAAUUGGUCAUGGGUGACUCGGUCCUAAGAUAUUGGUAAACGACCUUGCAAAUGGGCUUCGGCCCGCGAUCGAAGAAGGGAAAAUGAGGUUAAUAUUCCUCAAGCUGGCUACGGAUGUCACGGUAACGUUUGUGAGCUCGGUGACACCAGCGCGUGCCUCUGGAAGAGUUAUCUUUUCUUUGUUAACAGCUAAAUGACCCUGAAAUCGGAUUAUCCGGAGCUGAGGGUUAUAAAGCUGGAAUAGUGUAUGUUUUCUUUCUAUAUACAAAACGUAGAAGCGCUCGCGAUGGUCCUUGAAAACCCGAGUGAGGUAAUUUAUUCCGUACCAGGCCGUACCAAUAACCGCAUCAGGUCUCCAAGGUU
rnacentral:rRNA from 1 species